CUACAUUUUUCUGACAUUAAAUAAUUAAAAAUUAAACAUAUUAAAAAAAAAAAGAAUAAAAAAAAUCAUCUUCCUACCCCAUCCAAAAUCACAGCCAACAAACCCGUCGUAGCCAUUGCCGCGGCCCACUGUCACCACCUUCAAUUUGCUUCAACUGCGACACCAACUUCAUGGGAUUAGCCUGAAAAAUAUACAUACUCAAGGGCGGGGGAGGGAGGGAGGGGGGGGGCAUAAAUAGUAUAAAUAUGAAAUGGUGAAAAUGUGCACCCCAACAAGAAAUUUCCAAGUUCAGAUUCAAACAAUGGAUUUAUGUUAAAGGAAAAAGAAAUGUCUACAAAUUGAAAACGCAUAACUAUAGAAUUUUGUCAGGAAAAAUAGAGAAAAUACAUGUUCGGGGAAAACUUGCUGGAACUUGUAGUGGACCAUGAAGAAGGUUGCAAUUGGCUUAGAAGAAAAGGUUUAGAAGCCCGUCCACCACUAUUGCUGUUGAUUUUCAAAAUUGCGAUGUCCCAUUUACACGUAUUGUGGUGUUCGAUUUCUUGAUUCUAAUUUGAAUUGGGAGAGCCGAGUUUUGGGGGUUUUGCAGUGAAGUGGAAAAGAGGCUGAUGAUGUGAAUUUAUUCAAAUGCUUACUGCCAAUUUUCCGAAAGAAGCAGACGAUAAUUGGUACAGUUCUCUUGUAUUGAGCUAAUACUAGGAUAAUUGAUAUAGUGAGGAAUAGAAGAAAGUGAAAAGGGAAGAAAGGGUGGGAAAGAAAAUGGUAGCGGAGAUGGUAGUGACCAUGGGUUUGGCUGUGGCCGUGGGCGACAACAGGGUGGGUGAUAUUGAUUUUGGUUUUGGGGAAAGUCUGAAUCUCCAUUGUGCAAAAUAUCC
rnacentral:lncRNA from 1 species